rnacentral:sRNA from 1 species
AUUAAAAGAAGAGGAAGAAGAAGAAGAAGAGAUGCUGCGACUCA